rnacentral:rRNA from 1 species
AUACGGAGGAUGCGAGCGUUAUCCGGAUUUAUUGGGUUUAAAGGGAGCGUAGGCGGGAGCUUAAGUCAGCGGUUAAAUGGUGCGGCUCAACCGUGCCCUGCCGUUGAAAUUGGGUUUCUUGAGAGUGCAAGAGGCGGAUGGAAUUCAUGGUGUAGCGGUGGAGUGCUUAGAUAUCAUGAAGAACUCCGAUUGCGAAGGCAGUCCGCUGGGGCACGUCUGACGCUGAUGCUCGAAGGUGCGGGAAUCAAACAGGAUUAGAUACCCUGGUAGUCCGCACGGUAAACGAUGAUUACCCGCUGUCGGCGGCAGACAGUCGGCGGCCAAGCGAAAGCGAUAAGUAAUCCACCUGGGGAGUACGCCGGCAACGGUGAAACUCAAAGGAAUUGACGGGG